GAUAGCUCUGGAGCUGGCGGCGCGCGUGUGCUGUUCGUGGUGGGCGAUUUUUUGCUGCCCUCCAUCUUGAUGAUUCACCGCUUGCUUCCAGGCUCUUUGGCCUCAUCACCUCCACCUUGUCCCUGAGAGAGCAACACGACGACGAAGAGGUCGAGAUGAAAUGGGCAGCCAUCGAGCGGCUGCCCACCUGGGACAGGCUCCAUACCUCGCCCCCUCUCCACGCCAGCGGCAAUGCCGACGGCGCUCGUCCGCUGGAGCCGGUCGACGCGGGCCGGCUAGGGGCGGCGGACUGGCAGGAGCAGGUUACGCCUGCUUCGCCGCCGGCGCCACUGGAUGGACAGGGUCGGCGUGCGGCAGCCGAUGUUGGAGGUCCGGUGGCGGAACCUGCGCGUCGAUGCCGAGUGCCAGGUCGUCGAUGGCAAGCCGCUCCUCAAGUCCGCCAUCUCCGCUCGUUCAAAAAAAAAAAACUCCGCCAUCUCCAAGCUCUCGCUGCAGCUGCUCACCACCAUGCUGGGCUUCAACCAUAUAACAAAGAAAGGAUGAAGGAUCCACAUCCUCAAAGAUGUCACCGGCAUCCUCAGACCAUCCAGGAUGACCCUUCUCCUUGGACCCCCAGGCUGUGGCAAAACCACCCUUUUGCUAGCACUUGCUGGAAAGCUACCAAAAAUCUAAGAAAAGACAGCACCUUACAUUGGUCAGUAUGAUCUUCAUAUCCCUGAGAUGACUGUCACGGAGAUGCUCGACUUCUCUGCAAGAUUCCAGGGCGUUGGCAGAAGAGCAGAAUAGAAAUCAUGAAGGAAGUCAUUAGAUGCUUCGAGUUCGACUGCUCCUCCUUCGCCGGUCUUAGCCCAGCAAGUGUUGUGGCUAGGUGGUGAGGAACAGAGAAUCAAACGGGCAGACCAUGCUGGAGAAGAUGGUGACCUUUGCUGACCCGCUUACGCCCCACCCGGCAUCUCCUUAGUUAUCUUUCUCGGUUCCAGUAACCUGCUUUCAUCUACUUUCCGCCUAGGUCUGACUUGCUGAAUCCUACUGUUGUUUAAACCUUGUGUUUGGUUUCACUGAUUAAUGGAACCGGGCGGGCGCUCUGUUUAUCUGAAAAAAUACAGAA